rnacentral:rRNA from 1 species
GACGAACGCUGGCGGCGUGCCUAAUACAUGCGAGUUGAGCGCUGAAGGUUGGUACUUGUACCGACUGGAUGAGCAGCGAACGGGUGAGUAACGCGUGGGGAAUCUGCCUUUGAGCGGGGGACAACAUUUGGAAACGAAUGCUAAUACCGCAUAAAAACUUUAAACACAAGUUUUAAGUUUGAAAGAUGCAAUUGCAUCACUCAAAGAUGAUCCCGCGUUGUAUUAGCUAGUUGGUGAGGUAAAGGCUCACCAAGGCGAUGAUACAUAGCCGACCUGAGAGGGUGAUCGGCCACAUUGGGACUGAGACACGGCCCAAACUCCUACGGGAGGCAGCAGUAGGGAAUCUUCGGCAAUGGACGAAAGUCUGACCGAGCAACGCCGCGGGAGGGAAGAAGGGUUUCGGAUCGUAAAACUCUGUUGGUAGAGAAGAACGUUGGUGAGAGUGGAAAGCUCAUCAAGUGACGGUAACUACCCAGAAAGGGACGGCUAACUACGUG